AGUAGCCCAUAUGAGCGCAUAUUCAAUUCAUCAUCGGUCAAAAGUAAAAAUUGCAAACUUAACAAAAUUGACCCAAAAGUCAAAAUUGCAAUUACGUUCCCUUUUGCGUGUACUUGUUUGCUUAUCACGAGAACGACGAAGCCUUCGCCUUCAGCCGACGACGCCUCCGCAUCCGCCUCUGGCCAACGACGCCUCUGCCUCCGGUCUUCGGUCGAAGACACAGACGAAGUCUCCUACUCCGCCCUGCAGCUGCUUCCGCCUCCUCCUUUCACGUUGUUUACAGGUUGAACAUCAUCAAUUCCAAUUGAGAAUCCACCGAGCACUGCAUCAAAAUAAUCUCAUCAUACACUUUCACCAAACAUUUAUUCAGAGCUCACAACUUCUCCUAUAGCAGCAGCCUCACUUGGGCAGGAACUUAGGAUUGGCUCUUCGACGUUUUCCUCAGGACCAAAAGAUUCAGAGACUAUUCCAAUCUCAUACGUAUAUAAUCCUUUUAGUGCAAUCAACAAUUGUCUGAUUGGAGUGUGGUUACUACGUUAUGAACUGGAUGCAUGAGUUUGUACUUUUUCGACAACAUGGAUUUCCGAAUAACAUUUGGAAGGACAAAAAACCAUUUUCUAGUGAGGAAUUGGAUGAACGUGUUAAAACAUGGAUGAGAACUUUUGGAGAUAAAGUGAAGUCUUUUUCAAGUUAACGGUUAGUUGUUCUAUAUACAUUGUUAUAAUUGGUUAUGUUUUUCAAAAAACCAUUUUCUAGUGAGGAAUUGGACGAAAGUUUUUUUUAUGGAAAAUGUGAUAUAUAAAAGUAGGAUGCUAUAUUUUGUGUUUUAUUGUGGAAGUUUGCAGAUUUCGAGUUAAGGAGGUUGCUGUUAUGGAGGCAUACACUGAAUUAGCCACAAAGGGGAAAGAGAGGUCAGAUGUGUGACAUUAACAAAUUUAAGAAUGUUUUUAUGUUUAAUGAACUAGGUAUACAACUUUUAGAUUGUAUAGAUUGUAGUAUGAAAGAAUAUUAAUGUUUUUAUGUUUAAUGAACUAAAUAGUUAUUGUAA